UCCCUGAUGGCUCAGAAGUUAGAGCGUCUGCCUCCAAUGCAGGAGACCCGGGUUUGAUCCCUGUGUUGGGAA
rfam:Ovis aries breed Texel chromosome 14, whole genome shotgun sequence.